rnacentral:pre_miRNA from 1 species
ACAGGACCUGUCGAACAGAGGCUGUUCGAUAGGACCCCAGUCGAACUGGGGCUGUUCGAUAGGCGUACCUGUCGAACUGGCGCAGUUCGACAGGCCG